rnacentral:misc_RNA from 1 species
CACAAAUUCAUCAUCAACAAACACAACAUGUCUGGAUUCAUCGAGAAAAUUGGUGAGAAGCUCCACAUUGGAGGAGACCACAACAAAGGGGAGCAUCACGAUGCUCAUAAAGGCGACCAUCACGAUGCCCACAAAGGAGAGCAUCACGAUGAACACAAGAAGCACGGCAAAUCGGAGGAGCACCAUGGAGAAGGCCACAAGGAAGGGCUGAUUGACAAGAUCAAGGACAAGAUCCAUGGAGAUCAUGAUGACAAAGGGGAGAAGAAGAAGAAGAAGGAGAA